UACGGAGGGGGCAAGCGUUGUUCGGAUUUACUGGGCGUAAAGGGCGCGUAGGCGGUUGGUCAAGUCACUUGUGAAAUCUCUGAGCUUAACUCAGAACGGCCAAGUGAUACUGAUUGACUAGAGUGCAGAAGGGGCAACUGGAAUUCUUGGUGUAGCGGUGAAAUGCGUAGAUAUCAAGAGGAACACCUGAGGCGAAGGCGGGUUGCUGGGCUGACACUGACGCUGAGGCGCGAAAGCUAGGGGAGCAAACAGG
rnacentral:rRNA from 1 species